rnacentral:rRNA from 1 species
CCCUUAGAUGUUCUGGGCCGCACGCGCGCUACACUGAGCCCUUCAUCGAGUUUACAACCUUGGCCGGUAGGUCUGGGUAAUCUUCUCAAAGGGGCUCGUGCUGGGGAUAGAUUAUUGUAAUUUUUAAUCUUCAACGAGGAAUUCCUAGUAAACGCAAGUCAACAGCUUGCAUUGAUUACGUCCCUGCCCUUUGUACACACCGCCCGUCGCUACUACCGAUUGAAUGGCUUAGUGAGCCCGAGGGACUGUUGCACCUAGAGGGUUUUCUCUCCAGGAGUAGCCGGGAACUCGGUCAAACUUGAUCAUUUAGAGGAAGUAAAAGUCGUAACA